CACGUAGGGGGCAAGCGUUGUCCGGAUUUAUUGGGCGUAAAGAGCUCGUAGGCGGUUCAGUAAGUCGGGUGUGAAACCUCCAGGCUCAACCUGGAGACGCCACCCGAUACUGCUGUGACUGGAGUCCGGUAGGGGAGCGUGGAAUUCCUGGUGUAGCGGUGAAAUGCGCAGAUAUCAGGAGGAACACCGGUGGCGAAGGCGGGACUCUGGGCCGAUACUGACGCUGAGGAGCGAAAGCGUGGGGAGCAAACAGG
rnacentral:rRNA from 1 species